rnacentral:rRNA from 1 species
CCUACGGGGGAGCAGCAGUAGGGAAUCUUCCGCAAUGGACGAAAGUCUGACGGAGCAACGCCGCGUGAGUGAUGAAGGCUUUCGGGUCGUAAAACUCUGUUGUUAGGGAAGAACAAGUGCUAGUUGAAUAAGCUGGCACCUUGACGGUACCUAACCAGAAAGCCACGGCUAACUACGUGCCAGCAGCCGCGGUAAUACGUAGGUGGCAAGCGUUAUCCGGAAUUAUUGGGCGUAAAGCGCGCGCAGGUGGUUUCUUAAGUCUGAUGUGAAAGCCCACGGCUCAACCGUGGAGGGUCAUUGGAAACUGGGAGACUUGAGUGCAGAAGAGGAAAGUGGAAUUCCAUGUGUAGCGGUGAAAUGCGUAGAGAUAUGGAGGAACACCAGUGGCGAAGGCGACUUUCUGGUCUGUAACUGACACUGAGGCGCGAAAGCGUGGGGAGCAAACAGGAUUAGAUACCCUGGUAGUCCACGCCGUAAACGAUGAGUGCUAAGUGUUAGAGGGUUUCCGCCCUUUAGUGCUGAAGUUAACGCAUUAAGCACUCCGCCUGGGGAGUACGGCCGCAAGGCUGAAACUCAAAGGAAAUUGACGG